rnacentral:rRNA from 1 species
UGGGGAAUAUUGGACAAUGGGCGAAAGCCUGAUCCAGCCAUGCCGCGUGAGUGACGAAGGUCUUCGGAUUGUAAAGCUCUUUUGGUGGGGACGAUAAUGACGGUACCCGCAGAAUAAGCCCCGGCUAACUUCGUGCCAGCAGCCGCGGUAAUACGAAGGGGGCUAGCGUUGUUCGGAAUUACUGGGCGUAAAGCGCACGUAGGCGGAUUUGUAAGUCAGGGGUGAAAUCCCGGGGCUCAACCUCGGAACUGCCCUUGAUACUGCAAGUCUCGAGUCCGAUAGAGGUGAGUGGAAUUCCUAGUGUAGAGGUGAAAUUCGUAGAUAUUAGGAAGAACACCAGUGGCGAAGGCGGCUCACUGGAUCGGUACUGACGCUGAGGUGCGAAAGCGUGGGGAGCAAACAGGAUUAGAUACCCGUGUAGUCCCUGAGCGGGCUGGCAAGGCGCAU